AUGGAUACUAGGUGUCCACGACAAGCUCGUCUCCGCCUUGAAACCGUGGACCACACAAUCAAGGAGUACCCCGAGGAGAUUACAAAAUCCAUGGACAAAUUCCGUGCCGGCCUGCGCAACAACACCCACGUGAUCCAAGCCAACUCCCACAAGAUCGACGAUCUGCUCUCUUGGUGUCCAUAUUUGGAGAAGCGGGGCGAGGAGAUGAGCGUGGCGGAUGCACUCCUGCAACAAGGGCGUCUGCUAAUACGUCUUCAAUGUAUCCAAAAAAUUUUAUUGUUCCAUGCUAUUAUAUUAUCUGUUGGGAAACAUAGCAUGCAAUUUUAA
rnacentral:rRNA from 1 species